CUUCCUCCAUCCAUCUUCCUCUCAUUCUCUCACACUCUCACUCUCUCGACCACCACAUUCUCAUAUUAUCGAUAGAGAAGAGUUAUAGAUUCAUUUGUUCUCGAUCUAUAAGAUAUCUUCUUAUUUUCCGUUCUGUAUUAUUUUUGGAUCUUUUUUGUUUGAUUUUUCUUUAUCAUCUUAACUCAUUAGUCCUGAGUGAUUUCAUGCCUAGAAUCUGUCUAUAGUUUUGUUUUUGCAGUGACAAAUCUAUCGUUUGGAGUGGCAACUGAGG
rnacentral:lncRNA from 1 species